rnacentral:rRNA from 1 species
AUACGGAAGGUGCAAGCGUUAUUCGGAAUCACUGGGCGUAAAGGACGCGUAGGCGGGUUGGCAAGUCAGAUGUGAAAUCCUACAGCUUAACUGUAGAACUGCAUUUGAAACUGCUAACCUAGAGUAUGGGAGGGGGAGAUGGAAUUAGUGGUGUAGGGGUAAAAUCCGUAGAUAUCACUAGGAAUACCGAAAGCGAAGGCGAUCUCCUGGAACAUAACUGACGCUAAGGCGUGAAAGCGUGGGGAGCAAACAGGAUUAGAUACCCUAGUAGUCC